UUUGGAGGAGGUCGCUGAGAGGACGUGACCUCUGGCUGACCCUGCAGCUGGACCCGGGCAAUCACAGGCUCCUAAUUCCUCCCCUGUCCCUGGAAUGUGCAUUCAGCCUAGUCUUCCCACACCUGACGGAGCCCAUUCUCCUUGAGAGAGUGAAGUGUUGUUGAGACGGACUUCUGGACUGUCCGCUGACUAGUGAGCAGCACCCGGCAACGGCGGGCUUCUCGUUGCCUCCUUGGUCCUUGGACCGUGCAUUCUACUUGCCUUCCGCACAGAAGAUACAAGGAUACAGUCCUGAGAUACUAACGUGUUGUUGCGACCAUGUCGAGGGUAUGCAGGUUUCAUACUGUUAAGGCCUCUCGAUAAACUGUAAAGAUUCCCCAGGACAAGUGCACAGAUCUACUCGUCUUGCUGCUACUUAACACAAGCCUCAAAAUAGUGGAUGAGGCAGCCAGCAUCCUGUAUGGCAGCAACAGCAACGUAAUAGUCACUGGACAAGGGCAUCCUUUAGCUCCAGACCCUGCCUUUGUGACAGGCAAAAUGAAGCUUACAAACACAUUCUAACCGUGGUGACAAUACGCGAUCACCAGAGAGCUAAUGAAGACAAAACUGAAGGGCUGGACAGACAUCUGGGGAUAACAAUGACUGAGCACAGCUUAGGCGAAGUAGAAGCAAAGACAAGAUUCAGGAACCCUGUUCACUGAUGAUUUUUGGAUUUCGGAUGAGCAGUGUCGAUGGGGAAGGAGGAGGCUCAAACCAAGUCUUUCUUGAGGAGAUAGUCCCAUAGGCGGAACAGAGGCAGACUCCGUUGGAGGGCCUCACUUGUUGGAGAGAUGACAGAUGGGUGUUUGAAGCAAACAAUGCAGUGUGACUUACGGAAAUGACUGCUUUCAGAAAACCUUCUGCUCCUAACAUUGAAUGAUCCUUCUUCUCUUGAAAUAUCUGAAACUGUUGAUUGAUCCCUACAGCCAAGGAAGGACCUCCAAAUGUGCCUGAAGACAAAUAAAAAGGUUUGCCACUUUAAAAAUCCUACCUUAAUAGAAUAUUUGCCAAUCAGAGCUGGUCUAAGAAUGCCAGGUUUUUUUGUUUUUGUUUUUGUUUUUGCUUUACUCUUUCUCACACCUUUGAGUCAUGCUAAAAUGAAAGUGAUAGCAGAUGGAGUACCUUCCACAAGUUCAUGAAUAAAUGGACUUUAUUAAUUUUUGCCUUGGACUUAAUUUCAUCUUUGGCAGUAAUUAGAUCACUGACUGUGAAAUUAUUCACUUAUUGCCAGUAACCCUUGGAGUGUCUAUCUUGCUCAUCACUGUACCUGUUUCUUUGGAGAGAAUAUACUAUCCUAAAUGUUUUUGACUAAGCUUUGAUAUACUUUUUAAACCCUGCUUAGAAGAACAAGCUUCUUUCCCAUUGGGACCAUCCAUCCCCUUUGAUAAAGUUAUCGACAAUGAUAUAAGUUAAAAAAUUUGUAUCCAGGAAGACAAGGCUAAAUUAAGUAAACAGAGGGUAGAAUUAGUAGGAAAAGUAAUACAGUGAAUUUCAUUACGUGCAUUACUUUCCCUAAAGUUAUCCAUGGUAUGCUUUCAUGAAAAUUGUAGACGCAAAAAUAGGCUCAAAGAAUUUACAACUUGGUUAAAGAGAUAAAAAAAAUAUUUCAGGCAAAGAAUAUGCAAAGACAUAUAAUAGAUGUUUUUUCAGUGCUGUAACAACUAUGUUUAUAUAUAAGGGAUAAGUAUAAAUGAGAUAAAGGUGGCUAUCCAAGAAGAAUUCAAAUAAUAGUUAACUUUAAACUUGUGAUUUUAUACUUACUUUAUUUACUAAUGUCGAAUUAGGAUUUUGCAUUUUAUUACCAGAUCAGGAUAUUAACUAAGCCUAGGAUUCAGAUAUAAUAAGCAACUUUUAUUAUAUGCCCCAUGAAUUUUGUUACUUUGUGGCAAUCAAUAGGACCAUUCAAAAGUGUUCUGGUUCUUUUCCUUCUAGGUAUAUAACAGAGUUAUGCUUUUCUUUUCCUUCUGAAAGUUUUCUGUUUGUUUUUUACGGGCUUAGGACUUGAUUUGUCCAAUGAAAUGUGACCAGCAACCAGACAUAGUUCUUUAAGAGUUAGACAUAAUUCACUAGGUCCUCAUCUCCCUGCCUUAAGAGAUCAUGGAAGCAAAAAUAUUGAUGGAUUCAUCAGUUUGAUUCCCUGAGUGGCAAUAAUAAAUAAAGCUGUUCUGAUUAUCUAUGUUGAAUAUAUAUCAUGAACAUGAAGUGAAACUUUACUUGGUCAAUCUAUUGAAAUGUGGAUUGUUGGUUACUGUAGCAUGGCCAAGCCUAUCCUGACACUUCUUCCUAAAGCAAUCCAUUUCUUCACAAGGUAAAGGAAAAAAACACAUACAAAGCAGCCCUGAGGAAUGAAAUGUAUCUUCCAUUUCUGAGUAAUGGUUUUACGGUGUCACCUCAGUGAAAUGUAAUAGGGAAGUAACAAUUCAAGUAUGUUUCCCUAUCCAUCAAUGAGAAUAGACAAUCCUGUUUAGGAAUAAGAAACUUAACCUGAAGACUUUAAGGAUAGCUUCUACUUGGGAAGAGCACAAAAAUCCUCUUAUAGAAUCGUCAUUAUCUUUAAAAAUAAAAUCUAUGUAGACAUACAUAUGGCUUCAUUUUGUUUUUCUUUUUCUUUUUUAAUGUGAAUCUUGAGGACUAGAGAAGAAAGUAAAAUUAAAGAAACCAUUUACAGGUCUGAAAUGAAAAAAAUUAACAGAAAAUAUAAUCAAUAUAUGACCUAGAAAUACAUAAUCUGAUGGACUAAAAUAGACUUUUAAUGUAGAAUUGGGAAAUUAUAGUUCAAGUAACUGGAAGCUUUUGUAUGAAAAAGAAAAUAAGGAUUGGCUAUCAAGUUGGGUUGAAAUAGAAGAGAAGGCAGAGUGUAAAUCUGGUACUAUAAAAUAUUUAGAAACAGGUCAAAUAUGGUAGAAUAGUAACUGGUUUAUGAAUAAUUGCAAACAAAGCCAAUAAUACAUCUAUGAGUAUUGCACAGAGAUCUCCUAAAAAUCAAUGUGUUUUUACUAGAUCUUGUAAUGAAUAAAACUGAAUAUGCUACAGGGUUUCUUAUUUGGAACUACAAGUACUUGUGAAGAGGUAGAUGAGGAAGAAAUCUUUCUCUUCCUGUACUUGCAAAGAAUAAUGAAGCAAUUUUAGAAAGCACCCAUUAGGGUCCACAUUUAUCAAACUUGGCAGGACUUACUAAAUAGGUCUUACCUCAAUAGCAUGUUGAGAUGAAGUAAUAAAGAAACAAGAAGAAGAGAUUUGUUGUUCAAUUAUUUAGACAGUCAAUUUCAGGCAUAUAAAUUUAGUAAAGGCAGCAAAUUCAGAGAAUUCCUGUGUAGAUAGGAAAUGUAAAUAUAUUGCAUAUUUACUCUUCUGCGUAAAGAAGAUCAUGUCCUAACAAAUUAAUAAAAGAAUGACAACUUGGUAGAAAUACAUGUUGCAAUGAAACCAAAACUAUAGAAAUACUCUCAAACAGUAACAGUCAGGAUGAAUUGUAUCAUCUUGGAAAUUGCUAGAUACAACCAGCCACAUAAGACAGAGAAAUUUUGAGGAAUUCUUUAGGUCUAAGUAUGGAAUGGCUUACACCUGUAUCAAAAAACCCAUUAAAUUCAGGUGUCACUUAAUGUGAAAUAAAUAUUAGAUUUGUAAGGAUUAUAAAUCUAAUGGCAACAAGGAAGCAGAGACUGUGUUACAGUUCUCCUGAUGGUGAUUGUUAUUGAACAAUAGGCAUAGAACUGAGAAGUUUGGGAAAGUUUCCUAGAUGAUCUGUGUAUAUGGUUUCCCAAUGAUCUUCUUUCUGACCCCAAUCACAUAGACAUUAUUAAAAAACAAAAUAAGGGCUCCUGGGUGGCUCAGUCAGUUAAGCAUCCAGCUCUUGAUCUUGGCUGAAGUCACGAUCUCACAUUUCAUGAGACUGAGCCCUGCAUCAAGCUCUGCACUGACAGUGUGAAGCCUGCUUAGGAUUCUCUCUCCUCCUCCCUCUCUACCCUUCCCCAGCUCUCUCUCUCUCUCUCUCUCUCUUUCAAAACAAACAAACAAACAAACACACAUUAAAAAAAUUAACACAAACAAACAAAAGCCUCUGGUAACAAAGGGAACAAAAGAAAUGUACUUAUGCUAUACACACUUUUAAAAACCUAUCAGAGAACUGAGGAUUCAAAUAAACCUAAAAUGCAGAAAACGAUAAAUAUUUCAUAAAGGAAAGAGACCUAUGAUGACUUAUUUCAUCCUUAGAAGAGUAGCAGAAAGCAGAAAGACCUCCAGAUAUGGAAGCACAGAGAUAUCUACCAGAUUUUAACAUACUUUAGAUGGCUUCUUGUUGAUUUGUGUGAUGAUUUAGAAUCCAAGCCUCCCCAGCCACAAAAGUCUGCACCUUCCUUUCAGGUCUUUCCACUGGCCUGCACCAAAUUCAUGGGGUAUAAAGCCAGGUCUAAGAACAAUUCCUCUGAAAUACUUCAGUCCUUGACUGGCUGUAAGGCCACAGCCUACAAAGAUUGAGGGAGGGUCAGGAUGAGUGAUGAAAGCCAAAGCUGGUUCUUCAAAAAAUCACUUAAUAGUGACAACAAACCCCUGGCUUAACUGAUCAAGGAAAAUUACAAAUUACUGAUAAUAGCAAUCUAAGAAUGGAUCUGACUAAAGAGUUUAUACAUAUUAAAAGAUAAUAAGGAAAUAUUAUGAAAAAUAUUGUGGUAAUAAAUUUACAGCAUAGAUUUCCUGAAGGACAUAUAUUAUCAGAAAUAACUCUAGAAGAAAUAGAAAAAAAUCAAUAGUCCUCUAUCAAUUUUUUUAAGUUUAUUUAUUUUGAGAGAGAGAGACAGAGAGAGAGAGCACAGGGAAGGGACAGAAAGAAUUAUAAGCAGGAUCUACACUGUUAGUUCAGAACCUAAGUCAGGGCUCAAACUCACAAACCAGGAGAUCAUGACCUGAGCUGAAAUGAAGAGUCAGAUGCUUAACCAACUGAGUCACCCAGGAACCCUAGUAGACCUCUAUUAGUUUAAAAAAUUAAUUCACAGUUAAAAAUCUUUCCACAAAGAAAACUACAGGCCCUGGUUUCUUAAAUGGUGAAUUCUACCAAAUGGCAAAGGAAAAACAAAACAAAACAAAAUCAAUCAAAUAAACAAACAAAGGCAAUUCACCAUGUAUUAUUUGAGAAAAUAAAGUAGGAAGGAAUAAGGAAGGACUUCCUUAUUCAUUUUUAUGAGAUUAUUUUUACUCUGAAACUGAAACUGAGCAAAGACUUUAUAAGAAAAGGAAAAUGCAGACAAGUAUCUCUUAUAAAUGUAGACAUAGAAAGUAUUAAAAAUAGGAUGUAUAAAAAAAUAAUAUACUGUGGCAAAGCAGGGUUUACGCCAGUAAUGCAAGUUUGAUUUAACCAUUCAAAACUCUUGACAGUGUAUUUCAUCACAUUAAUGAGUAAAGAAAAGCCAAAUGAUAAUUUUAAUAGGUGCAGAAAAAUGCCUUUAAAAGAAUUCAACAAUCAUGGUAAAAAUUCUCAAAACUACAAAUAGAAGGAAACAUUUUCUACGAAGGAUUUCUACAAAAAAUCUAAAGCUAAUAUGAUUAAUGAAAUACAUUGAAUAUUUUCCCCUUAAAAUCAAGAACAACACAAGAAGGACUGCAUUGCUCUUAUUUAAUAUUGUUCUAUUUAUCCUAGCUAUUGCAAUAAGAUAGGUAAAAAAGGGCAGGAAUAUUAUAAAGGAUGAAGUAAAACUGUUAAUAUUUGUGGACACCAUGAUUAUUUGUGUAGAAAACCCUAUACAACCUAUAAAUAAUUACAAGAACUGGCAAGAAAAUUAUAGUUUCACAGGAUUCAAUAUCAAUAUACAAAAAUGUACUGUCUUUCUAUAAACUAGCUAGAAAAAAAAGUUUAAAGUGGAAUUUAAACAUAAUAUAAUUUAUUUCAGGGAACCAAAGACUACUUUAUAUAAGUAAGUUAUAGAUUCAACACAAUCCCAACCAAAAUCCCAGUGGUUUUUCUUUUUUUCCAGUAAGUGAGAGCUGAUUUUAGAGUGGAUAUUUAAAAGAUCUUGAAUAAUCAAAAAGAUCUUGAGAAAGAACAAAGUUUGAGAACUUAUACUACCUGACCUCAAAAUUUGCUAUAGUAAAUAAAAGCAAUGUGGUGUUUGAGUAAAGAUUACAAGGUUUAAUGACAAAGAAAAGAGAAUGCAGUAAUAGGCACUGAUUUUUAACUAAGGCAUGGAGUUAAUAUAAUGAGAGAAGAUUAAAUGUUUUUACUAAAUAAUGCACAAAAAAACUAGAUUAAAAAAUAAAAUCCAAUUCUUUCCUCACAGACACAAAAGUUAAUUUGAGAUGGGUAAUAGACUUAAAUGUAAGCCAGAGUUAUAAAACUUCUAGAUGAAAACAUAGAACACCAUGUUUGUCAUUCAGGGGUAAGUAAGCAAAGAUUUCUCAAAUAACCAUGAAAGAAAGGAAUUAAUAAAUUAUACUUCGCCAAAAUGCUUUAUUUUUCAAAAAAAUGAAUCAGGAAGCCACAAGACUUAAAAAAAUCUUCUCAAUAGUUAUUUGACAAAGAACUCAAAUCCAGAUCAUAUAAAGAAUUCCUAGGGGCACCUGGGUGGCUCAGUCUAUUAAGCAUCUGACUUACGCUCAGGUCAUGAUCUCACAGUUCCUGAGUUCCAGCUCCACAACAGGCUCUGUGCUGGCAGCUCAGAGCCUGGAGCCUGCUACAGACUGUGUGUUUUCUCUCUCUGCCCUUCCCCAGCUCAAACUCUGUCUGUGUCUGUCUCUUUGUCUCUGAGAAAUAAACAAACAUUAAGAAAAAGAAUUCCUAGAAAUCAGCAUAUUAUGGAAAACAAUCCAAAAGACUCGAAUGGACCUCAAAAGCAUAGAGAUAUUAUUAGUUGUCAUAGAAAUGCAAAUUAAAACUACAAUCAAAUAUUUAAGUAUAUAGUAAAUCAAAUCAUUUGCAAAUAAGUUGAAAAAUAAAAUAGAAAGCACUUUCCGACUCAUUUUAUAACAAAACCUGACAAAUGCUUUGUAAGUAAAGAAAUCACAGACUGAUACUCCUCAUGAAUAAAGACACAGUAAUCCUUAACAAAUUGGUAGCACAUUUAAUAAUAUAUAAAAGGGAUAAUAUACCAUGAACAAGAGGCAUUCAUCCCAGGAAUAUGAAGCUAAUUUAACUUUUAAAAAUCAAAGACAUUACAAGGAAAAAAAAAAGGAGUAAAAGAAGACCAUAUGGGUAUCAACAUAGAUGCAGAUAAAGGAUUUGACAAAACUCAGUAUCCAUGAUAAAUACUCUCAGAAAAAUAUGAAUAGCAUCAACCUGGUCAAGAGAAUCUGUAUGAAAUAUAGAGCAAACAUGAUACUUACUUCCUAAAAUACUGGAAGCUUACACUUAGGAUCAAGAACGUGGCAAACUCACUCUUACCACUUCUAAUUAAUAUUGUGCUGAAGUCUCUAGGGUGAUAAAGCAAAGGCAAAAAGGCAUACAAAUUGGAGAAAGAAGAACAAACUGUCUAUAUUUGCAGACUCUAUGACCACAUAGAAAAUCCUAAGGGUCCAAAAAAUUAUCAGAAUUAAGUGAAUAUAGUAUGUGUACAACACACAGAAAUCCAUUGUAUUUCUAUAUACUAGUAAUAAGCAAUUAGAAAUAAAGCUUAAAGAAACAAUGCAAUUGUAAUAACAUAUAAAAUAUGAAAUACUUAGGAAUAAUUCUUUUAAAUAUGUAUAAUAUAUUUAUACUGACUAUCACAAAAGUUUGCUGAGCUAAAUUAAAGAAGACACAAAUAAAUGGAAAGACAUAUGAUAUUUAUUUAUUGGAAGACUCUUGUUAAGGUGUUAUUUUUUUGUUAUUGCUGUCUUUCCAAACUGAUCUAUAUAUAUGAUGCAAGCUCAAUAAUAAUCCUCGUGGAGAUUUUCCAUUUAAAUUGCCAAGGUCUUACUAACAUUUUAUGGAUGGAUACAAUUUAGAAUAGCUAAAACAGUUUUGAGAAAGAAGAACAAAAUCAGACAUUUAACAUUAACUGAUUUAAAGGUAUACUUUAAAUCUAUGCUAAGCAAAGCAAUGUGAUUUUAGCAAAGGGUAGAUAUGUACACCAAUGGAAGAGAAAAAUGUCCCGAGUUAGUCCUACACAUAAAUUUGUUCAUAGAUAUAUGUAAAAACAACUUGGUGAGUAAUUUCAAAAUAUGGUGUUGAAAGCUUGGCUAUGAAUAUAGAACAAAAUAACUUCAACUCUUAAUACCAUGCAUAAAACUUAAAAUGAAUCAUAGACCUAAACAUAAAAACCAAAAUAAAUAAUAAACAAACAAACAAACAAACCUUUUGGAAGAAAACUUGGGAGAAAAUCUUUGCCACUUAGCAUAGGCAAAAAUUUCUUAGGUAAUAUGAAAAAAGUAUGAACCAUAAAAAGUUAGUAAAUUGUAAUUUAUCACAAUUUAAACUUUAGUUCUUUCAAAAAUACCAUUAAGAAAAUGAAAUGAUAAGCCACAGACUAGUAAGAAAUAUUUGCAACACACUUAUUUGACAAAGAUAUUAUAUAUAGAUUUAAUUUUUAAAAAUUUCAAUAAUUAAAAGAAUUUAAAAAUUUUUUUAAUAUUUAGUUUUGAAAGAGAGCACAAGCAGAGGAAGGGCAAAGAGAGAGGGAGACACAGAAUCUGAAGCAGGCUCCAGGCUCUGAGCUGUCAGCACAGAGUCCCACGUGGAGCUUGAACUCAUGAACUGUGAGAUCAUGACCUGAGCCAGUCAGAUGCCCAACCAACUGAGCCACCCAGGCACCCCAAAAGAUAGAAUUUUUAAAAACAGCAAAAUAUUUUGAAUGGACACUUCAAAAACGAUAUAUAAAUGGCCACUGAGCACAUAAAAAUACUCAACAUCAUUGAUCAUCCAAGAAAUGUAAACUAAAAUACUUUGAGAUAUCUCUACAUGCACUCUAAAGUAAUUAAACACUGACAAUGCCAACUGUCGGUGAGGAUGUGUAGCAAAUAGACUUUUCAUUCAUUGCCGGUAGGAUUGUUAAACUGUCCAACCAUUCUGGAAAGCAGUUUGACAGUUUUUUUUUUAAGUAAAGUUACACUACAUCUAUUAUGUAACAGCAAUUCCAUGAAUUUAUCCAACAGAAAGGAAAAUAUAUGUUCAAACGAAGACUCAAUGGAAUGUUCGUAGAUGCUUUAUUCAUAAUAACUAGGAACUAGAAAUAAACCAUCAUCAAUUUUGAUGAUUACCAUCUUGAUAAUCAUCAAGAAUUGAACUGAUGAAUACAUUGUGGUAUAUCUAUAUAAUGGAAUACCACAUCAAUUAAAGGGAACAGACUACUGGUUCUAAUCAAUAUAAUGAACCCAAAAAAUUUCACAUAGUGUAUGAUUCUAUUUAUAUGAUAUUUUAGAAGGAGAACAAUUAAGACAAUUGGUGGUUGCUUGGGACUAAAGAUGAAGAAAGUUUCCUGUAAAAGAGCACAAGGGAACUUUGCAGGGUGAUAGAAGAAUUCUAUAUCGUGUUUAUGUUUGGGAUUAAAUGAUUAUAUGCAUUUGUCAAAACUCAUCAGCUCUUUCCUAGCUUCAUCUACUGCGGGAAUGAAGACCAUUCUUAGUAAUCAGGUUGUCGACUUUCCAGAAAGUGUCGACAUCACUGAAGGGAUGUGCUGUUAUUAUGAACUUCCCCAGAGGAACCCUGCAAAGGGACUUCAAUCACAUCAAUGUAGAACUCAGUCUCUUUGGAAAGAAAAAGAAGAGGCUUCGAGUUAACAAAUGGUGGGAAGAUUGAAAAGAACUGGCUACUGUUCACACUAUCUGUGGUCAUGUACAGAAUGUGAUUGGGGCACCCGGGUGGCUCAGUUAGUUGAGCAUCUGACUGUUGUUUUCAGCUCAGGUCAUGAUCUCACAGUUUGUGGGAUCGAGCCCCACAUUGAGCUCUGUGCUGACAGCACCGAGCCUGCUCAAGAUUCUCUCUCUCCCUCUCUCUCUCUGUCCCUUCCCUGGUCUCUCUCUUCUUUCUCAAAAAAACAAAACAAAACAAAAAAAACAACAACAAAAAAACAAACAUUAAAUAGCAACAACAAAAAUAUGACCAAUGUUGUUAUACUGAGUUUUCAGUAUAAGAUGAGGUCUGUGUAUGCUCACUUCACCAUCAACAUUGUUGUUCAAUAGAGUGGUUUUCUUGUUGAAAUCCAAAAUUUCAUGGGUGAAAAACAAAUCUGCAGGGUUUGAAUGAAGUCAGGUGUUGCUUGUUCAUCAUCUCAAGCCCAGAAAGAUGAGUUAAUUAUUUUUUAUCUUUAUUUAUUUAUUUUUGAGAGAGAGAGAGAGAGAGAGUGAGAGAGAGAGACAGAGUGUGAGCAGGGGAGGGGCAGAGAGAGAGGGAGACACAGAAUCCAAAGCAAGCUCCAGGCUCUGAGUAGUUAGCACAGAGCCUGAUGCGGGACUCAAACUCACGAACUGCAAGAUCAUGACAUGAGCUGAAGUUGGAUGCUUAACUGACUGAGCCACCCAGGCACUCCAACAUGAGUUAAUUCUUGAAGGACAUGAUACUGACCUUGUAUCAAACUGAGCAACUUUGAUUCAGCAAGUACAACAGUUAAAAAUAAGGAUAUCAGGAAAUUUUGGGAUGGUAUCUAUGUUUUUGAAAAAGCAACAGUUCAGCACGCUGAUGAGUAAGAUCUAAGUUGUCCAGCUACAGAGAUAGCAAGGUGCCAGAUGAUUUUUCAGACUAAUUUGUGAUAAUUUAAAGAAUUUAAAGCAAUGAAAGUUAUAUUGAUUUGGGGGGGGGGGAAACCUUAUCAAACCCUACAUUUACAUAUAUUCAUUUUAUGUUUAUACAAAUUAUACCUCAAUAAAUUUGAUUUUAAAAUAUGUACAUGUCUUGAGUCCCUGAGAUCAGUCUUAAUCUUGACCAGUCUUGACCGGUUUUCACCAGUCUUAAUCUUCUGUCACCCCUUUUCUGUUUCUGAAUUAUGCAUGUUCUAAUAAUCUCUCAGAUUCUUCAAUACAUUUCCAUCUUUGAAACUUUGAUUUAUUUCUGUCUGCAGUCACUGAUCAUUCUUCAGUUUUUCAACUCAGUUCAGUUCUGGCUUGUCUUUGAAAGCCUCACUUUGGAAAGUCAAAUAUGGUGGCCAAUGGCUUCAGUUUAAAUUUUGAGAUAUUAGAUUCUGAUGAAAAUAGAGACUCAUGUACCCAAGAUGUGAUUUGCAAGAAUUCACUUAAAGAGUUCAUGUGGCACUUAUACCAUGUGACUUAUGGGAAGUAGUUUGAUUUUUGCAUUACUUCAAACUUUUGAUGCAUACCAGAAUCACUUGGAGAACAUGUUACAGUGAUGGUGGUCUGCAGUAGGUGCUGAGAUGUUGGUUUUUAACAAGUCUUCCCAGUGAUUUGGAUGCAGCUGGCUUUCUGACCAAACUUGAAUUUGACCUGUUGGGGUGGAAAGUGUGCAUGUGUGAGUGGUGGUCAUGAAAGCUAGGGAGUAUGGCACUCACUGAAUUCAUAUCACAGCUCUGCCAUUUUUAAGUUUGGAUAAAUUUGUAAAUCACUUAAACUUUGAAUAUCAAUUUCCUUUUUCAUGGGGAAAAUAUUAUUAUUAUUAUCAUUAUUAUUAAAAUUAUUAUUCCUGAUAUUUGCUGUAUUGAUUAAAGAUAUAAUGUUUAUUAGGCACCUGGAACUGUGCCAAGCAUAGAGUGCACAUUAGGUGUCACUUCCUUCCUUUUUCAGUUUCUCUUAAAGACUGCGUAUGCAUUCUUAAACCUUCUGCAGACAGUAUCUACAUUAAAAAAUAUUUUAUUUUUUUAUAGUAGCCAUAAAUUUCAAGUUGUGGAAAAGUAAGGAUUUGUCCUUUGCUGUCAGCAGUAACUCUCACUUGUUUUGCAAUGAGAAGAAUGUCUAAUUUUUGUGAUAUCAAUGGCUAAGGUUUAGGCUAGGGCAGGACUGAAAAAGACCUUUCCUUUCCUCUCCUGUCCUUUCCUUUUCCUUCCUCCCUCUUUCCUUCUCUCAGUCCAUCCUUCGUUCUUGUUCUCCUUCUUUCCUUCCUUUGUCCAUCCUUCUUUCCUAUUAACUGGUCUAAAUAGAGAUUUGAACUGUGAUAUAAGCCUUCUUGUUUCCCACGCUCUUACCUAACUACAGAGAAGAGUGACCGAUGAAGCCACCUUUCUGUUUUUGGUGGCAUAACAUUACUCAGCUAAGGACCUCUCUCGAGGUAUGGGUCAGGCCCUAAAAACAAUUCAUAUAGAUCAUUUCAUCCAGGCUGCAUAGUUAGAUAUAUUGAAACCCACUAAAGUGAUUCUUCACCACCAGAAAGUGAGUUUAUAGUAGAGUUAUGAAUUCAUCUUAAAUUUCUCAAUUCAGACUUUCCUUUGGCUUCCAAACACUUUUUAAAAUGCUAGGGCAGAAUAUUGUUGCCAUUUCUAAACUCAGAUUUCAUUUCAGUCACCCACAGGUGCUUGUUUAUUUCCUAUUUAUUAUUAUUUGUUUUUGAUUCAGGCUUAUUUUUCAGAAUCCAGGAUCUGCACACACUAUACCAGUCAAGUUUAUCUCUCAUCAGUCACUCUGCACACAUCUUUUCUUCCCACCUCCCUGCUUUGAGUCAUGCAGUUUCUCCAGGCUGGGACAAUCUUUUUUGCCAGUUUAAAUUCUUCCCAUUACUCAAGACCCUAUUCAAUCUCCACAUUUCCUCUAGGAAACUUUCUUCAAUUACUCUAACCUCUGAACUCCUGCUGUAUUUAUAGAUGGAUCACGUGCAGCGCUCUAAUUACACACAGAAUGUCAGAGCUGGAAGGGACCUUAGAAAUCACAGAGAAGGAAACAGGGCACAGGAUGCAGUCUGGAAAAAGUGGAAGGUCAUGAUCUUAGAGUGUGUGUAGGGAGACGAUUUGGAUGUGACACUGAUAUUAUUUGUGAUGGUAAUGAUGAGGGGGCAAGAGGCAGGGACCUAGGUGGGAUUCAGUGUUGAUAAGAGUAGCCAAGGUUAACCUCAUACAGGAGGGAAAAUGCGAUUGAUAGUUAAGCGGAGAUGCACUGGUGUAUUGGAGAGGAACACUGAGGUCUGGGUGCUCACCUGUAUGCACUGCCAGCCUCAGUAACUCUCUGAAAUGCUGGUGCCAUCCCAACAGGUUCAGAAUGAUGCAAAAGCAGAAGGCAAUGAAAUACAAGCUCACUGGACAUGUUUACUCUUUCAAAAAAAUGUAUUGCACAGCCAGAUUUUUUCAAGUCAAUCACUCCAAUUUGUCAACCAAUACUUAUUGAUAGAUUAUUGGAAUAUAAUCAAAUGUAAAAAGUUGUAGGAGUGGGAUUUCAAGUAUAGGGAAAAACAUAAGGAAAAAGCCAUGGAGGAUAAGAUCAUCUGGUGCAAAGAAAGACAGUGAAGCUAGCUCAGACUUGAAAGGGAAUCCUGCCAAUAUGAUAUUAAAUAGGCAACCCAAGGACUGGAAAUGUAUUUUUAGGCCAAUAGAAAUCCACUGAUUGGAAUUAACAUAAGAGUGAUAAAGAUGAACAAUUCAUUUUAUUCUGUGUAGACUGUGAAUUAAAGGGGGCUAAGUGGAGAUAUCAUUGAUCCAGUACAAGUGAAGUGACAUUUGACAUUUCCUUCUGAUUUUCCCAUCACUUUUCUGGGUUUCUUCCCACCUCCCUGGUGCCACAUUCUUAGUCUCCUGAGUAUUCACCCUGUUCUAAUUCUCUGUCUAUUAUUAUUUUUUCUUCCUUGCUGUACUCUUUCUACUCACUUCUAAGAUUUAAAAUGAUAGAAACAAAAUUUUAAAAUUAUAUACAUGCUAAAGAUUCACUAUUUUGUAUAAUUACACUUGGAUUCACGUCACUACAGAUUAUUCAUGUAUAUAACUGUCUCACAAACAUAUCCAGUUGCAAAUUGCCAUAGAUGUCCUAAUCUUUCAUGGUACUUCUCCAACCUUGGGGUGCUCUUAUUCUUUCAGUAACAACAACUGCCAUCCAACAAGCAGAAAACAAAAAGUUAUCUUUAUUUCUCCCAGUUCUUGGUUGUUCAUAUCCAAUAAAUCAGCAAUCCUUUCUCUAAAAUAUAUCUUCAAUCUGUCCAUGUUUCUCUACAUUCUCUAAUGUAAGUCCCUCUUAUAUUUGUCCUGUAGGGAUUCAAUAGCUUCAUAUGUAUGCUUCCCCUAUGACACCCCUGUAAUACACUUUACACAAUAUUGCUAAGUGCUCUUACACAAUACUAUUUAUCAUUUUAUAACCCUAUGUAAAACUUUUCAACAGCUUCUCACUGCACUAAAGGUAAAACCCAGGCUCUCUACACUAGCUUAAGAAGCUUACAUGAUCUGGUUUAUUGUGUCUGUUUCAUCCACAUAGGCCUCCUUUCUGAUUCUUGAACAACUAAGUUCUUUAUUGUCUUAGGACUUUGGGAUAUGCUGUUUCCUCUACUCUGUACGCUCAUCCUUUGAUGUUUCUCAUGGCUGACUUCUUCUCACACUUCAGGUCUCAAUUAAAAACAUCAUCUUUUGGAGAGGGCAUUUCUUUGUUAAGGUUGGCACCUCUCAUGCCAUACACACAGUUUUUCUCUAUCAUAUUUUUCUGCUUUUCCCCUGCAAGACGUUUAUGCAAGUCUGCAAUUAUCUUAAUUAUUAAUUUAUAUAUAAUCUGUUUCUCCUGAUAUAAACUUCAUGAGCAAAGAAACUCCUCUGUUCUAUAUACAGGGGUAUAAAACAGACCUUGACAAAGGAGCUGCCCCACAAAUUCUUGUUGAAUGAAUUAGGAAGCCACCAAUUUCCAUUUUAGAAGGAAUCGUGCCAACAAAACUUCUGCAGAUACAAUAACAGCUAGAAACGCGAAGCUAAAUAUGAAAACAACAGAAGUGGCUUUGUACUUGUUUUAUUUACUUCAAUAUGAAUUACUUUGUGCUUAAAAUUCCAGGCAAAACAUUUACUAACUAAUGCUGAGAGCUGCAGCUAAGUGGAAGAAUAUUGAAGGACCUACUAUUGGGUGUCUUGAGGCUUAAAAGAAGAGGUUCAAGAUGCAUCUUGUAGAAGCCACUUGCCAAAUGUUAAACUGCAAAAUUCUUUAAAGGGGAAGGUCCCAUACUUAACCUAAAGGGGUCCAAGUACCUAUAAGUUUUAUUUACAUUUCGGAUGCAAAUGAAGCACCUAUUAUUCAAAACUUCUUGUGUUUAUACCCUAUUAAGUAUCUUCUAUGCCCAAAUAUUUUGGAAAUCUUUAUAGCCAUGUGCCUGUCUUCUGUGGAUGCUGAGGGGAUAUUCUGUGUGGAGGUUAAACCACACUAUGAGGGACCAGAGACUCCUUGGAGUCAGGCUGCCCACAGAACCAUCUCCACCAGCAGGCUAGACCCCUCUGACACUUUGACAGUGUGUGGGUGAGGACAUCUCUCUUCUCUUUCUGGGUCAGGCCGGGUAUUGGAAGGGCCUAGGUGUAGACUGGCCUUACUACUGGCUUGAUUUAAAAACGGUGGCAAUAACCACAUGCCUUGUUUCAAACAUUGUAUGCAUAAGCUGUUGUCUCUGUUUAAACACAAUUCUGAGAUCAAGGCUAUUUGUGUGUCCUUGCUCACAUUGCGGUGUCCCUUUGGUGGCUGCCAAAAAUCACAUAUUGAAUAUUUGUCAAACUGCAUUAAAAUUGGGUAUUUUUAUGAUAAGCAGACUCUAGCUCUGAUAACACAUGAAAAGUUUCUUGCAGUAGAAAAAUUUUAACUCUUCUUUUUUCUCGUUUAAAAAUAUGUUUAUUGACAAUACCAAUUGUAUAUAAAAGUGGAGAAAUAUAAUGAAGUCUUCUCUAUUCAUUUCCUAGGUUAAAGGAUUGUCAACUUAUACUCACUCUUAUUUCAUUUGUACCCUGACCAACAUUCCUCCUCUUUACAAAUAAUUUUGAAGCAAAUGCUAAAUACCAUUGUAUUUCAUCAGUAAACAUUUCAGCAGUAUAUCUUAAAGAAAAAGAAAAGAAACGAAAAAGAGAAAAAAGAAAGAAGAAAAAAAGAUAAGAAAGAAAAUUGAAUAGAUGGCCUGGUGAACAGACUGAAAUACUACUGAAAUUACUUCGUUUUCCCCUAGAAGUCAAACUAUGAAGCACUUUAUAGUCCAUAAACUAAGCAGGCGGAGAAACUUCUGUUCUUGAAGAGCAAAGUUGGCCCAGUUGGGCAAGGCUUAGUGUAACGGCUCUGUUCUCCACUAUAUGGCACUGCUUAGCUGACUGGGGUGGAUUGUUGUGGAGCUUGUAGGUGCCUAUACGCAUGCACGGAAGCGGUGAAAAUGGUGUCACCCACCUACCCAGUCUCUAGUAUCGGAACUCUGCUCUCCCCCAUCAGCAAUUGCACACCCGUCCUUUGUCUUCAGCUUCCAUCCACUCCCAGGUUUUACACAGCCUGUGACCAAGCCCCUGGCAGCACCUCCCUCCUGAGUUUUGUUUCAGAUGCAGCUGUUUUUCCUGACCCCUUAGUUCUGAGGGACUGUGGCUUUGACCCGUUCUGCCCCUCUGCAGAGGGUCUCACCAUGCAAUGGCCGGGUGCCGGCCACACCCAGGAACAUUUGCUGGACCUGUGCUGCUGCUGAUGCCCAGAGACUGUAGCCAGGUGCCAGCCCACCCCGGAAAGGUUUGCAAAAUAGUGUAGCAACAGCGUUUCAGGGACUAUGGAAAAUGACAACACACAUCUGGCACCAGGCUUCACCCUUAACAACCUUAUUCUAGCACCAGCAAAUGUGGUUGUUCUUCCGGGUCCACUGGGGCUGUGCCUUUGGGGGACCCACACAGCAUCUACCAGGUGUCCUUCCAUCAGGAGAACUGACUCCCUGUGUAGCCUGAAGAACUCCGGACUCCACUCUGCUCCUGGGGACUCGCCUUUCCCACCAGAGCACCACCAGGUAUUGAGCUGCGGAGUUUCAGACUCUGUGCUUCCUCUGUUUAUAGUCUUAAUGGAAUUUAAACCCUGUCCUUUCUCCUUUCUCCCUCUUUAGUUCAGUCCCUGUGGCUGUUUCCACUUUUCCACUUUCUCUCCAGCUGCUUUUGGGGGGUACUUUUCCCAAAUUCUCCCCCUGCCCACCCCCCCAUCUCCAUCCUCUCUCCCCCCACCAAAGCAGCUCCCUGCCCUCCACGGCUUCUCUCUCCUCCAUUUCCCCUCUCUGCGCUGUGCUGCGUACUUGCUGAAUUCUGUGGUUCGGGAUGUGCAAAUUAUUGUGUUAAUCCUCAGAUCAGUUUUCUAGGUGUGCAGGAUGGUUUAUUGUUGGUCUGGCUGUAUUUCAUGGAUGCGAGACACACAGAAAACUUCCAUGCUGUUUUGCCAUCUUGGUUCUUCCCCUAUGUUUUGUCUUUUUUUUUAAUUAAUUUAUUUAUUUUUAGAGAAAGUGAGAGAGAGCUCAAGGGUACUUACAGGAGGUGGAGCAGAUGGAGAGGGAGAGAUAGAGAAUUCCAAGCAGGCUCUGCACUGGCAGCAUGAGCCCAAUGUGGGGCUCAAAUCCACAAACCGUGAGAUCAUGAUCUGAGCCAAAAUCAAGAGUUGGACGCUUAAAUAACUGAGCCACCCAGGCACCCCACAAUGUUCAUUUUCAAAAAGGAAAGGGCUACAUUCUGAAUUAAGAGUAAUGGAGAAGAUACGCUGUGGUAUCAUUGAGUUAGAAAUGGUUAAGGAGGGGGCUGCUUUAGCUAAGGUAGUCAUUGAAAGUAUCUCUGAAGAAGUGGUAUUUGCUUGAGAUUGAGUAGGGAGACAGCAAUCAUGUGAAGGUCUGAGGGUCUGUAUCCACAGCAGGCAUGGCAGCAAGGACAGAGGUGAUGGUAUCAAAUAAACUCUUGAUGCUAGAAAGGCCAGCAAUAAUUUCAGUACAGCUGAAAUAUGGAGAUUGAAGGAGUGAGGCAGACAACCUCCACAAUGGGGGCUCCCGUGACAGUGGAAGCUGGCCUGGCACUCACCACUAAGCUGCCGUGUCCUUCUGCUGAUCAUAAGCAAUUUCACAGAACAGCAACGUCAACAGCUUUUUUUCUGUGACCAUAAAUGGAGAAAGACAGAAACUCAACUACUCCAUAAUUAUAUCUAAUCACGCAUAGUUAGAGAUCCAGAACAAGAAAAUGGUUUUGGAAGGACUCAAUGCAUUAUGUUAGUGACAAAGCACAAUCUGUGAUUGCCUACCUGCCACUGGUGGGAUUAUGGAUUUUUUGUUUAUUGACUGUAUACCCUAUGUAUAUUUUUUCUUCAACAAGCCUUGCGUAGAGAAUGAGGAAAGUUGAAAAACCUAUUUUCAUUGUUUUCCCUUGAUUUACUGUUUGUGUGUUGAAAAUAUAGUCAUAUCUGCUCAGGUAGGCAAGGUCACUACUCAUUAGCAAUCUAGAACUAUCUAUGCAGUGAAUUUAUUCUAUACAAAAACUUGAUUUUUUUGAUACUCCAUUUUUAUGGAAAAGUGAUGAUGAGAAGGCUAAAAUUAGUGAGUCAUUCAAUAGUGUAAUUUUGAAUUAUUAAACUAAUGCAUUAGUUACAAUGAUUCUAAGUGAAUUAGGUCUUCCAAUGUCAAAAGAAAUCAUAUUGGAUUCCUGUGGCAUAAUAUUCAGAAAUUUCUCAAAUUAUUUAAUGAUUUGUCUAACCUUGAAUUCCACAAUGAUAGACAUAACUCCAUGUAAGACUACAUUUCUGGUGUCUGGAUAUUGUCAGUAUCAAAGGGUAUAUGACAAAGACAAUAGACAAAGGUAAGAGUGAAUUGUUUUAUUAUUUUAAAAAAAUCAGUUAGAUUAAUUUGAUUCUGUCAUAACAUUACCCCUUGAGGUUGUGAACUGUGAGAUGAUUUAAAAUUAUAGCUGUUAUCUAAUGUCCCAUAGCUCAAUUUGUCUGUGCAGAAUGAAAAAUGAAUGAUACAUGUGCCAGAGCAAAAAGGAAUUAUCAAGUUUGAUGAAAGCCAGACAGAAAUCAUGUAAUGUAUUUGCUAUACUGUGCUUUUACUCUUUUGUCCUUUAUUUUAUUUGCAGAGAAACUUGUUAUCCUUUUUGCAUGGUUUAUUAUUUCAGACAUAUUCAUGACUGAAUAUGAAAAAGAUUGGAAUAUUGUCCGGUGAUGAUCUUGUCUUUAGGGAAAUUUAGCAGGUUUGAUGCUAUUUUGAGUAUAUAUUCAUAUACAAGCUGAAAAUCCAUCAGUCCACCAACAAGUACUUAAAAUUCUACUAUA